CCAGGGUUGGCCAACUGUGGAAACCUUCUGGACUGGGAAGUUAGUCAGGGGGAAGAGUCAGUGCAGUGUGAGUCAUGUUGGGGGCAGGUGGUGGCUCCCUGGCGACAAAGGCAUGGGUGUGGAGGUUAGGGCUGGGGAGAAAGGAGAGCUGGUAGCCUUUUCCUUUUGUUUUGUGUCAUUUACGUACCAUAAAAUGCACACGUUAGUGUAGAAUUCAGUGGCUAUUAGUGCGUUCACAGAGUUGUAAAACAUCACUGCAAUCUCGUUUUAAGUGACUGGUUGAGCUUCUGUGAGGCUGAGGAUGCAGACCAGGCCUCCGGGCUGGUGAGGACUGGACUUCCUGACUGUUCCUCUGCAGACUGGCAAGCCCGUUUGUGCCCUGCUCCGCACUGGGGGCCUGGCAGAGAAGAGGGGCUGGAGCCCAGUGGGGUUUACCAGCAUCUUCACCAAGCGCUGUGCCCAGGAAUGAGGUGCUGUUCCUGGCCGCACGUCUGGGGGACGCUGCCUUCGAAUCCACUCACAGGGGGAGUUGCCGGGCACAAGUUCUCUUCUCUUGUCUGCUGCCAUGUGAGACAUACCUUUCACCUUCCGCCAUGAUUGUGAGGCCUCUCCAGCCACGUGGAACUCAGGUUUCAGUCCUUGAGGAGCGCUCACUAGGAUGGUAAUUGUUUGAUCGAUAGAUUAAGUGAGUUGGAAGACUCUCCAAGUGAAAAUUUAAAAUUACUGCAGUUUUGGCCUGAUGAUGUUAACCAGCAAGAACAGAAUCUGAAACCAGAUGAGCUGUUAGUACUGCUUUCAUCUGUUUUACAGCCACAGCGACAGCAGUUCCCUGGCUUCUGGAAGGAGUGUCGGUCUAUCCAAAAAAUGUACUAACAGAUAUGUAAAGUCUGUCAUCCAUUUGCAGCAAAUUUUGCCUACGGUAUGAAAUAGGAGUUCAAUUUGACAUUGAAUAUUGAUAUCUUAGCAAUAUUAUCUCCCAAUCUGUGAACACGAAAUUUCUUUAUAUUUAUUCAAAUUAUCUUUGGUUUUUAAUGAUGUUAAAUCCAAGUAUUCUUUGUGAUGCUGUUGUAAAUGGAAUUUUUUGUGUUGUUCAUUGCUAAUGUAUAAAAACCAAUGAUGUUUGUAUAUUAAUCUUGUAUCCUGCAACCUCAUUGAACUAGUUUAUUAGCUCUAGUAAUAUGUUGGUGUGAAUCCCUUAAUAUUUUCUACAUACAAGAUCAUGUCAUCUGCAAAUUGUUUUACUUCUUCCUUUCCAAUUUGGAUGCUUUUUAUUUCAUCUUGCCUACUGCUUUGGCUACAACCUCCAGUACAAGAUUGAAUAGAAGUGAUGAGACAGAACAUCCUUGUCUUAUUUGUGAUCUCUGGGGGGGAAGGCUUACAGUAUUUUGCAUCAACAUAUCAGCUACGGGUUUUUCAUAGAUGUCCUUUCUCAGGAUGAAAAAGUCCAUGUUUGGCUUUUUGAAUGUUUUCAUCUAAGAGUUUUGGAUUUUGCCAAAUGUUAAAUGCUUCUUCUGUAUGCAUUGAGAUGAUCUUGUUGUUUUUGUCCUUUAUUCUAAUAAUAUGGUGUACUACAUUGAUUUCUGUAUGUUGAAGUUUGUAUUCCUAAGAUAAAUCUCACUUGCUUAUGGUGUACAUUCCUUUCUAUAUGUUGCUGGAUUUACUUUCAUUAGUAUUUUGUUGAGGAUUUUUGCCUCUAUAUUGAGGGCUAUUGGCCUGUAGUUGUUUUCUUUGCCUGAUUUCUAAUGUGGGUGAUACUGAAUUGGGAAGGGUAUCCUCCUUCUCUGUUUUUUGGUGUUUGUGAAUAAUUGGUGGUAUUCUGUAAAUGUUUGACAGAAUUCACCAGUGAAGACAUCUGCUCCUGGACUUUUUCCCGUGGGAAGUUUGUUUUUAAGAGAUGGGAGUCUCACUCUCACCCAGGCUGGAGUGCAGUGGUGUGACAAUAGCUCACUACAGCCUUGAACUUGUGGGCUUAAGGGAUACUUCCACCUCAGCCUCCCAAGUAGCUGGGACUGCAGGUGUGCACCACCACACCUAUUUUUUUUUAAUUUAUUUUUUUUUAGAGACAAGGUCUCACUAUGUUGCCCAGGCUGGUCUUAAACUUCUGGCCUAAAGCCAUCCUCCUGCUUCAGCCUCCCAAGUAGCUGGCAUUACAUGUGUGAGCCACCAUGCCUGGCUGUGGGAAGUUUUUUGAUUACUCAUUAAUUUAAUCUCUUGUUUGGAUCUAUUUAAAGUUUUUAUUUCUUCUUCAGUUUUGAUAUGUCUUUCUAGAAAUUUGUCCAUGUCAUCUAAGUUCCCUAAUUUGUUGUCAUAUGAACUCUUAUUUUUAUUUCCAUAAGAUUGGUAGUAGUCUUUCAUUCCUGACUUUGGUAAUCUAUCUUCUCUAUUUUUUUUUCUAGGCUGCCUAAGGGUGUGUCAACUUUAUUGACUUUUUCUAAGAACCAGCUUUCGGUUUGAUUUUCUCUGUUUUUCUUUCUAGGCUGCCUAAGGGUUUGUCAACUUUAUUGACUUUUUCUAAGAACCAGCUUUUGGUUUGAUUUUCUCUGUUUUUCUUUCUAUCCUCUAUUUCAUUUAUUUUGAUUCUAAUCCAUAUUAUUUCUUUGUUCUGCUUGCUUUAGGUUUAGUUUGCUAUUAUUUUCUAGUUUCUGAAGGUUUAGAGCUAGGUUAUUGAUUUGAAGCUUUUAACAGAGACAUUUAUAGCUAUACAUGGUCCUUUAAGUGAUGGUUUAGCUGCAUCUCAUAAGUUCUGGUAUGUUCUGUUAUUUUCAUUACUCUCUUAAGGGACUUUGUAAUUUCCCUUGUGAUUCUUUUCUUUGACCCAUUGGUUAAAAGGAAUGUACUGUUUAAUUUCCACAUUUUUUUAGGUUUCCCAAAUUUUCUUCCAAUUUUAAAUUUCAUCCCAUUGUGGUCAGAGAACGUGUUUUGUAUAAUUUCAACGAUUAAAAUUAUGCCUUCUUGAUGGAUUGUCCCUUUUAUUAUGUAAUGUCUUUGUCUCUACUAACAAUUUUUAUCUUAAAGUCUGUUUUGUCUGAUGUUAUAUCCACUCAAGCUUUUUCCUUACAGUUUACAUGUGUUUUUUUCAUCCUUUUACUUUCAGCCUACUUGUGUCAUUGAAUCUAAAGUGUUUCUUAGUGGGCAGCAUAUAGUUGGACCAUGAUUUUUAUCCAUUCUACCAUCUUUGCCUUUUGAGUGUUUAAUCCAUUUAUGCUUAAUGCCAAUUACUGAUAAGGCAGGGUUUAGUCUGCCAUUUUGCUAAUUUUUUUCUUUUUUUUUUUUUUUAAUAGAGACAAGGCCUCACUAUGUUGUCCAUGCUGGCCUUGAACUCCCCAGGCUCAAGCAAUCCUCCUGCUUCAGCCUCCCAAAGUGCUGGGAUUAUAGGCAUGAGCCACUGUGACCAGAUUUUUUGCUUUCUAUGUCUUUUGUCUUUUUUGUUCCUUUAUUCCUCUGUUACUUCCAUAUCUUCUUUUGUUAGCAGCUAUUUUCUAGUGUACCAUUUUCUUUGUUGUAGCUUUUACUAUAUAUUCUCUAGCUAUGUUCUUAGUGUUUUUCCUGAGGAUUAUUAACAUUUCAAUUUAUAACAACCUAGUUUGGAAUAAUGCUAACUUCAACAGUAUAGAAAAAUUUUCUUCCUAAGUCUCUUCCCUCCUCCUUCCUUUGUAAUGUUGUCAUACAAAUUGUUUUUUCACCUUAUGCCCAGAUUUUUAAUUAUUGUUUUAUGCAGUUGCCUCAAAUCAGAUAGGAGGAAAGUUACCAAAAAUGCAUUUGUACUGCCUUUUAUAUUUACCAAUAUAACUACCUUUACCAGUGCUAUUUCUUCAUGUGCAUUUGAGUUACUAUUAUCUUUUCGUUUCAGCCUUUAAGUUCUCUGUUUUUCUUGUAGAGCAGCCUUGCUAAUAAAUUCUGUUUUUGUUUAUCUGGGCAUGUCCUAAUCAUUUCUGAAGGAUAGUUUUGCUGGAAAUAGAAUGCUUAUUUGAUAGUCAUUCACUUUCAGCACUUGGAAUACAUCAUCCCACUGUUUUCUACACUCCAUAGUUUCUGAUGAAGAUCCCUAGUACACGAGUCACUUCUCUCUUUGCUUCCAAGAUGCUUUGGUACACAGUGUGAUUUUGUAUCCAGGCACGGAUCUCUUGAGUUUAUACUACUUAAGGUUCAUUGAGCUUCUUGGGUAUGUAAAUCAAUGCUUUUCAUCAAAUUUCAGUCUUUGGCCAUUAUUUUUUUUUAAAAUAUUCUACCUCUUUCUCUCCUCUCGUCUGGGACUCCAAUUAUGCAUAUAUUGGUAUGCAUGAUGGUGUGCCACAGCUCUCUGAGGCUCUAUUCAUUUUUCUUUAUUCUUUUUUCUGUUUCUCAGACUAGAUAGAGUUCCUCUCAUGAAUUUUUCAUUUCAGUUAUUGUAUUUUCAACUUCAUGAUUUAUAUUUGGUUCUUUUAAAAAUAAUUUUUCAUUUUCUAUUUAGUGAGACAUUUUCAUACUUUUAGUUCUUUACACAUUAUUUUUCUUUAGUUCUCUGAACCUAUUUAAAAUAGCCAAUUUAAAGUCUUCAUCUAAAAAUCCAAUGUCUAGACUUCCUCAGGUGUCUAUUUUUUAUUCCUCCCAUGUAUGGAACAUACUUUCUUCUUUAUGUGUCUCAUAAUUUUUCUGUGGAAAACUGGACAUUUCAAAG
rnacentral:lncRNA from 10 species